AUUGAACGCUGGCGGCAGGACUAACACAUGCCAGUCGAACGAGUGGCGGACGGGUGAGUAAUGUCGGGGAAACUGCCCGAUGGAGGGGGAUAACUACUGGAAACGGUAGCUAAUCCCGCAUACCAUCGGAUGUGCCCAGAUGGGAUUAGCUUGUAGGUGAGGUAACGGCUCACCUAGGCGACGAUCCCUAGCUGGUCUGAGAGGAUGACCAGGCAUGCUGGGACUGAGACACGGUCUCGACUCCUACGGGAGGCAGCAGUGGGGAAUAUUGCACAAUGUGCGCAAGCCUGAUGCAUCCAUGCCGGGGGGAGGAAGAAGGCCGUCGGUUUGUAAAGUACUUUCAGCGGGGAGGCGUUACCCGCAGAAGAUGCACCGGCUAACUCCGUGCCAGCCGCCGCGGUAAUAC
rnacentral:rRNA from 1 species